GAUGAACGCUAGCUACAGGCUUAACACAUGCAAGUCGAGGGGAAACGGCAUUAAGUGCUUGCACUUUUUGGACGUCGACCGGCGCACGGGUGAGUAACGCUUAUCCAACCUUCCCAUUACUAAGGGAUAACCUGCCUAAAUGCAGACUAAUACCUUAUGGUCUUCACUGACGGCAUCAGAUGUGAAGUAAAGAUUUAUCGGUUAUGGAUGGGGAUGCGUCUGAUUAGCUUGUUGGCGGGGUAACGGCCCACCAAGGCAACGAUCAGUAGGGGUUCUGAGAGGAAGGUCCCCGACAUGGGAACUGAGACACGGUCCAAACUACUAAGAGAGGCAGCAGUGAGGAAUAUUAGGCAAUGGGCGAGAGCCUGAACCAGCCAAGUAGCGUGCAGGAUGACGGCGCUAUGGGUUGUAAACUGCUUUUGUAUGGGGAUAAAGUCAAUCACGUGUGAUUGUUUGCAGGUACCAUACGAAUAAGGACCGGCUAAUUCCGUG
rnacentral:rRNA from 1 species